UCGAGGAUCUUUCGCAAUGGGCGCAAGCCUGACGAAGCGACGCCGUGUGAGUGAAGAAGGCCUUCGGGUCGUAAAGCUCUUUCGCUUGGGAACAAGAAAAGCGGAUGAAUAAUCUGCUAAUUUGAGUGUAUCAGGUAAAGAAGCACCGGCUAACUCCGUGCCAGCAGCUGCGGUAAUACGGAGGGUGCAAGCAUUAAUCGGAUUUAUUGGGCGUAAAGGGCGCGUAGACGGAUUGGAAAGUCAGAAGUGAAAUUCCGGGGCUCAACCUCGGAGCGGCAUCUGAAACUUCCAAACUUGAGGAUAGGUGGGGAAAACGGAAUUCCACAUGUAGCGGUGAAAUGCGUAGAUAUGUGGAAGAACACCGGUGGCGAAGGCGGUUUUCUAACCUACACCUGACGUUGAGGCGCGAAAGCGUGGGGAGCAAACAGGAUUAGAUACCCCCGUAGUCC
rnacentral:rRNA from 1 species